rnacentral:lncRNA from 1 species
UUUCUUCAAAUUUUGAUAGAAAAUACUUUAAACUAUCUAGAUUAAGGUUAACAUUCUUGAUCUUGAAUUUAAAAGUCCUAUGUUCAAAUUUUAAAGAUUAUUCAAUUUUCACCGUCCAUUUUGACAUGAUUUAUUUACUAAGUAAACGAUGUCGAAAAAAACUAAAAUUUUAUUCCAAAGAAUUUCAUAUAAACUAGAUCAUAUUUAACGGUAUGAAUCAUUAAUUUGAAUACCCUAAGAUCGAAAACAAGACUAUAGUACCGGAGCUCCGGUACUAUAGAUAGUAUAGUAGCCUAAUUCUAUAUAUAUAUAUAUAUAGGGUCCGGCUACUAUACUAUUAUGAGUACGAUCGCUCUCGUACGCAUAAAUCAUUUUCGAUGAUAGAGUUUCCGAAUCGACGAUCCAUACCGUUAAACGUUAUUUACAACAUUUAAAACUUUUAAAAAUCAAAUUUUAUAAUUUUUCGACAUCAUUUACCUUACGAUCAAGAGGUCACAAAUUUGACACUUUUUAAUGGCCAGUAUGGGAUACUUGCUAGUUUAACGGUGUAAAAGAAUCAGAGUUUGUUGAAUUUUUGAUAGAAAAUUUUAUUCACUACCUAGAUAAAGAUCAAUAACUCUGAUCUUGAAUUGAAGGAUCCGAUCAUCCUUUUGUAGGACGUCGUUCGAUUUUGACCGUUCAUCUUAUGCAUGCUUG